GAAGCCUUUUGGAAGCUCACUGGCUUCAGGUUCCAUUGAAACUUCGAAGUUAAGCGAGUUCGCGCGAGAGUAAUUUUCAGAAUGGGUGAUCCACUGGGAAGUUCUCGUAUGAGUUCCCAUAAACAAAACUAUGAGGGCGUGGUAGGGACCUAAAGCGAACAAUAUCGUGCUACGGUGGAAUCGAGCCAAGGGUGUGGUGGGGGCCCGGACUGGAAUGUGACAAUUUGGUAUCAUAGCCAAUCCCUAGCGGGAAGUGUGCCGACGAGGACGUCAGGCCCCUAAAAUGGGUGGAUUGUAACAUCUCACAUCGCCCAGGAGAGUGGAUCAUGUAAGCCUUAUAUGUACAUGCCCACUUCUUCCUAGCAUAAGGCUUUUUGGGAACUCACUGGCUUCAGGCAUCGAAACUCCGAAGUUAAGCUAGUUUGUGCGAGAGCAAUCCUAAGAUGGGUGACCCACAGGGAAGUUCUCGUGUGAGUUCUC
rnacentral:sRNA from 1 species